CCCAUAAAGGCAUAUACGGAUAUGGAUAUUCUUUGGUUUAUGCAAUAACACACACUGGGGCCCUUCCGGCCAUUGGAGAGUUACGCCCAUAUAGUGUAACACCCCAUAUUUUUGAGCUAGAAAUUGAACCGUAGUUCCUACGUGUGUAAACUCUAAUCCCAUGAUUUGAUUUUAAAUUUAUGUGUCAUGAUCUUUAUCCAUGGUGUUAAGUGAUUAUAAGGUGAAAAAUGUUCAUAGGAAUCAUUUAGAGCGAAGUUGAGAUAAGAGUUUUUGAUUUGGCUAAAUCAUUGUGUUCGAUUCUACAAGGGUAUACUUUGAACAUGUAUAACUUUUUAUAUACGUAGAAUUUUGCAGAUCAAGACCCACCAAAUUGUAUAUAAUUGAAUUAGAUUUCCAACGAUACCAAUUUCACCUUAAUUCGAUACCCGAAUAAAAAGUUAUGUCAUUUUUUGUGAGAGGCAGUAAGCCAACACAGUUAAGACGCGACACAUUGGUUGUCGAUGCGAUUAGCGAUGCGAUGAGAUGGCAAUCACGUUAUGGAACUAUUUCACACGCUAUUUCAGUUCCUAAAGGAUCUAUGGGCACUUUGGUAACUUUCCCUCACCCAAAUCUACCCAUAACACUUAAUUUUAGUCUCCAAAAGCAUUAUACACACUACUAUUAAUCUUUUCUCUCAAAGAAAAACCCUAGCCACCUGCCAAGAAAUAAGAUUCAACUCUUCUUCUCCAAAACAAGAAUUCAAGCCAUUUAACUUCAAGAUAUUCAAUAAAAGAGUGAAGAUUAGGUUUUCAAUGUUC
rnacentral:lncRNA from 1 species